rnacentral:rRNA from 1 species
CGCCUGUUUAACAAAAACAUGUCUUUUUGUUUAUAAUUUAAAGUCUAAUCUUCCCAUUGAUAAAAAUUAAAAGCCGCAGUAUUUUGACUGUGCAAAGGUAGCAUAAUCACUAGUUUCUUAAUUAGAAGCUUGAAUUAAUGAUUGAAUGAAAUAUAGGCUGUAUUUAUAUAAUUGGUAUAGAAAUCAAUGUUUAAGUUAAAAAGCUUAAAUUUAUUUAAAGGACGAGACCCUUUAAAGCUUUAUAUAAAAAUUAUAGGUACAUUUUGAUAAUAUUUAAAUUAUCUAUAAUUAUAUAUUUUAUUGGGGCGGUAGGAAAAUGUACACAUCUUUUUUUUUAAAACAAUUAUUAUUAAGGAGUUGAUCCAUAAUUUGUGAUUAUAAGAUUAAGUUACGUAAGGGAUGGCAGCUUAAUCUUUUUUGAGAGAACUAAUCGACAACAGAGCUUGCGACCUCGAUAUUGAAUUUUGAUAAGUUUUAGGUGCAGAAGUUUAAAAAUUUGGUGUGUUCGGCCAUUAAUUCUUACAUGAUCUGAGUUCAAACCGGAG